CACCAUCAAUCACCACACACUGCAUCGCAUGGGUUUCUCUAAGACUGAUGGCGGUUGGACAAAGGAUGUUGAGGAGAGAGCAGAGGAUAGAAUAGAGGGACCAUCUUUACCUCUUCGUGAUCACAGAGCAUCCCCAGAUAUUCAGUUCAUAUCUGAUCACGAGGCUGGUCCUUCAGAGUCUGUGAGGAGGCAUGCUUCAGUUCCACAGUCAGAGAGCAGGGCACACCUUCAGAGUUCAGACUAGCAGAUGAUCAGAUUGAGAUGAUGUCCCAGCGUGUUGCCUCCAUUCUAUCUCAGUAGUUUGCCACUUCAAUCUUUGCUCAG
rnacentral:lncRNA from 1 species